UCUCACACAUAUAAUUAUUCCUAUCACAUGAAGUCUAAACCUUAAAGUCCAUCACCUCCUCUUGUUCUCAUCAAAUAGACUAUUAGACCCAGAGGUCCAAGACGAACUCUUCCACACUUUAUAAUUAUUUUCUUAUGUGUUGGCAUCUUUUCAUGUAAUUUUUUUGGGUUUUUCUUGUUUAUGUUAGAUCUAUGAGCCAAACAACAAAGCCCCAUUCAUGGAUCUUCGUUAUAGAUUUACUAAAAUGGAAUUUGUUGACCAUGUCUUAUAUUUCUUCACCCUCUCUUUUAUGCUUUGCCCUGUCCUUCGUUCAAACCAUGGCAAAUAAUCAUCUUCAACGACCGUGAUUUCCUUGAUUAAGAAUGUUAUGGAGUGGAAAAAUCUCCAACAGCUGUUGGCACUCCGCUAAGCCCUUCUCAAUCUUCAUGCUUCUGUCAUCCCAAAGCAUAAAGCAACUGUUUCACAGAUUCUUCCUUCGAGUCCACAUGAAAACAUAGAGAUAGAAUCUCUUGAAACGAAUGAAAGUACCUAAUUUGAUGGAUGAGGUUAAGAAUACCUAAUUUUGUGUAUACUAAAUCUUUUUGGUAAUCAGAUUCAAGGAUUGCAAAACAUGUUCAAGUAUCCUCUAGAAGCUGAAAGCCAAAUGGGAACAGAUAAAAAUGAUGAAAAUGUUGCUGGUUACUCUGUUGGAGCUGGGCAUAGUGCACCUGUUGUUGUUGGUGUUGUGUAUACUAAAUCUUUCUGGUAAUCAGAUUCAAGGAUUGCAAAACAUGUUCAAGUAUCUUCUAGAAGCUGAAAGCCAAAUGGGAACAGAUAAAAAUGAUGAAAAUGUUUCUGGUUACUCUGUUGGAGUUGGGCAUAGUGUACCUGUUGCUGCUGGUGUUGGGGAUACAAACAUAUGUGGGUGUAUAGUUCAGUUGUAUUUGGAUAAUAUUUUGGACAGAUGUUUGGAUUUCAGUGAA